rnacentral:lncRNA from 1 species
CUCUAGCAUCAUGUCUGACUCCAGUCUGUCAUGCUUUCUGCCAUAAUAAUGGAUUGAAUCUCUGAACCUGUAAGCCAGCCCCAGUUAAAUGUUGUCUGCUAUAAGAGUUGCCUUGGUCAUGGUGCCUCUAUCACAGCAAUAAAAGCCAAACUAAGACAUUGCCACAAUGUAAAAAUGCUCUUGUGAAAAUCUGAAAUGUUUCAGAAAACAUCUUAGAUCUCAGAGAAAAGGCAAUAAGAUAAAAUAAAAAUCAGCCAUGUGUCUAGCUCUAACCAAGAGUUUUAUCCCACAUACAGAAAGCCCCUUCUUCCAAUCUUACCUCCAUCCAGUUGAUGAAUCUGGCCACAUCAUUUCCCACCAGCUUGGUGUAGCCAGCUGACACUGGAUAAUGUUGCUGGGCCCGAUACAACCAGUCUACUACAAUGACAUUGGAGUCAGGUUCUCUCUUGUACAGGGCGGCCACAAGUUUGGGCACCCAACUCUCAUACAUUCCCGUUACCUGAAAAGGACAGUGCAGGAUUUCUUUUGACUAUAAUUCGUUACAAAUAUGGCAAGCAUCUAUGUGAAAUGAAAAAUACAAACUUUCAUGGAAGCCCAUUGGCUCAGGCUGAGAACUCAAGCCUCAAGGGACACUCUGAUUCUUUCCUAUUCUUUCCCACUUCCAGGGCAAAUGUGAGUAUACCAGGGAGAGUGCUGGUCUCAGGAACAGCACACUGGAGACUAUCCUGCUUU